rnacentral:rRNA from 1 species
UACGGAGGGGGCUAGCGUUGUUCGGAAUUACUGGGCGUAAAGCGCACGUAGGCGGCUUUGCAAGUUAGAGGUGAAAGCCCGGGGCUCAACUCCGGAAUUGCCUUUAAAACUGCAUCGCUAGAAUUGUGGAGAGGUAAGUGGAAUUCCGAGUGUAGAGGUGAAAUUCGUAGAUAUUCGGAAGAACACCAGUGGCGAAGGCGGCUCACUGGUCCGGUACUGACGCUCAUGCACGAAAGCGUGGGGAGCAAACAGG